rnacentral:pre_miRNA from 1 species
UUAACUUGAAAUUGUAUGGAGUUGAAACGUUUGCCUACGUUUGCCGCUAGGGGCGCUGUUUGCAACUGCAUACAAAGUUGAGUUA